UCGUGGAGUGAUCUGUCUGCUUAAUUGCGUAUCAUAAAAAGAGACCUAGUAUACGCGUAAGAUAUCGUUUACGGUUCGUGACCCCCUUCGGGCGUGUGUCGCACGUACGUAUCAUACGCACUGGUCUCCGAUAGCAACGAACGUGACCGUACUCUAUUGUUGCAGCGAAUGUAUGCAUCUUCGGGUGUAUCUACCGCUGCUUAGCAUAUUUCAUG
rnacentral:rRNA from 1 species